rnacentral:rRNA from 1 species
GACGAACGCUGGCGGCGUGCCUAAUACAUGCAAGUCGAACGCAGUGGGGACAGGUGAGUACAACGUGGGUAACCUCCCAUCAGAGGGGAUAACACUUGGAUACUGGUGCUAAACCGAUACUGAUGGAUGGACCCGGGGUGCAUUAGCUAGUGGGGGGGGAAACUGCUCACCAAGGCCACGAUGCAUAGCCGCCCUGAGAGUGUGAUCGGCCACACUGGGACUGAGACACGGCCCAGACUCCUACGGGAGGCAGCAGUAGGGAAUCUUCGGCAAUGGGCGAAAGUCUGACCGAGCAACGCCGCGUGAGUGAAGAAGGUUUUCGGAUCGUAAAACUCUGUUGUUAGAGAAGCGGUAUCUAACCAGAAAGCCACGGCUAACUACGUGCCAGCAGCCGCGGUAAUUC